rnacentral:rRNA from 1 species
UAGGGAAUCUUCCACAAUGGACGCAAGUCUGAUGGAGCAACGCCGCGUGAGUGAAGAAGGUCUUCGGAUCGUAAAAACUCUGUUGUUAGAGAAGAACACGAGUGAGAGUAACUGUUCAUUCGAUGACGGUAUCUAACCAGCAAGUCACGGCUAACUACGUGCAG